rnacentral:sRNA from 1 species
AAGCCGGUUGAUUACGCACUACUCUAUU